UCCAAAUGACUUCUUAAUUUUUCUCCUUCUGUGGUUUUUUAUUGUGUGUAAUAUAGAUUUUGUUCUUUCGUGCAUACAGACUACUCUGUGUUAUGUAAUUGUAAGAUACGUUUUUGGUUAGUAGCUUUCAUAUGAAAUUUAAUUUUAUAUAUAAAUUAAAUUGCUUAUUUGGGGUUUUAUUUGAUAUUUUUUUUAAGAAGAAAAUCCAAUUUGGUUAGAUUACCCACUUGGGAUUUCUGUUCACUGUUGAUUUUAAUGGAAGAAGAAGAUCCAAUUUAAUAUCUAGAUUAUAGAGAUGUCAAAAUAGCAGUGACAGAAAUUAGGAAAAAGCAUGAGCACACACCAGGCUUCCAAAAUCACUUGGUUGUUAGGAAUAUCCUCGAUUAAUUCACCAAUCUAGGUGACCUUAUUUGAGUGGAACCGUAUAAGGUUACAAUGGACAAGGAGAUGGGUACAGCGACUUGGUUGCAUCUCCCACAUGAGGCAAUUUGAAGGUGUAUUGCUUCGGUAUAACAAGUCUGAUACUGGAGACUAUUAGAGGUUGGGUUGUCCUAAUCAACAUUCUUGUUGAUCUUUACUAAUUGUCAUGACUCAGUAAAUCAAUCUCUAUUUUUCUUGAGAUUGGAGGAGGUAGAAAACCUAAAGGCAGGCAAGACCAAUUACCAAAGGAUCAGACUUCAACACGUUGACAGUGAAAGUUAUCUUUACAUUCAUGACAGAAAAUACAGUCGAAUUGCUGAAAGUCAGUAAGAGGUGUGUGGUGUAAGAAAGAAGCAUGGUGAUAAUGUUUCGUUGGCAGCUCUCUUUGAUUUUUCUGUUGAUUAAUUUCAGCCAUUCAUAUCAAAACAAAGUGAGAGUUUGAACAAGAUGAAGGGGACAUGGCAGUGAAGAAAAUCUCAGGAGAAUCUAGAACUAAGAAACAGGAACCUGAAAUUGCUCUUGUUGGUGUAGUAUGCAUUGUGAUAAACUGCUUUGUCUCUGAAAGAUUAUGUUUUGGGGCAUAAAGUCGGGACAUCUCGACUUCUUACACCUUUAGUUCGAAGCUUUCUUUGUUGUGAACAUUGAACACGAGUAUUUGUAUGUCGUGUUAAGAGUUUAGUGAAUUUUAAAAUACUGAAAA